UUACCGAGUUAUACAACUCCCAAACCCACUGUGAACCUUACCUCAGUUGCCUCGGCGGGAACGCCCCGGCCGCCUGCCCCCGCGCCGGCGCCGGACCCAGGCGCCCGCCGCAGGGACCCCAAACUCUCUUGCAUUACGCCCAGCGGGCGGAAUUUCUUCUCUGAGUUGCACAAGCAAAAACAAAUGAAUCAAAACUUUCAACAACGGAUCUCUUGGUUCUGGCAUCGAUGAAGAACGCAGCGAAAUGCGAUAAGUAAUGUGAAUUGCAGAAUUCAGUGAAUCAUCGAAUCUUUGAACGCACAUUGCGCCCGCCAGCAUUCUGGCGGGCAUGCCUGUUCGAGCGUCAUUUCAACCCUCGAGCCCCCCCGGGGGCCUCGGUGUUGGGGGACGGCACACCAGCCGCCCCCGAAAUGCAGUGGCGACCCCGCCGCAGCCUCCCCUGCGUAGUAGCACACACCUCGCACCGGAGCGCGGAGGCGGUCACGCCGUAAAACGCCCAACUUUCUUAGAGUUGACCUCGGAUCAGGUAGGAAUACCCGCUGAACUUAAGCAUAUCAAUAAGCGGAGGAAAAGAAACCAACAGGGAUUGCCCCAGUAACGGCGAGUGAAGCGGCAACAGCUCAAAUUUGAAAUCUGGCCCCCAGGGCCCGAGUUGUAAUUUGCAGAGGAUGCUUUUGGCGCGGUGCCUUCCGAGUUCCCUGGAACGGGACGCCAUAGAGGGUGAGAGCCNCGUCUGGUCGGACGCCUAGCCUGUGUAAAGCUCCUUCGACGAGUCGAGUAGUUUGGGAAUGCUGCUCUAAAUGGGAGGUAUAUGUCUUCUAAAGCUAAAUACCGGCCAGAGACCGAUAGCGCACAAGUAGAGUGAUCGAAAGAUGAAAAGC
rnacentral:rRNA from 1 species